rnacentral:rRNA from 1 species
GAGGCCGACAGGCGUAGUCGAUGGAUAACGGGUUGAUAUUCCCGUACCGGUGAAAAACCGCCCAUACUGAUAUUGUGAUGCUAACCAUGCGAAGCAUGAUGUGCAGGCUUUUGUUUGUGUGUUGUGUGGGUUGUGGGACCCGAUCUUUGGAGGUAAACGUAUUAACAGGUGUGACGCAGGAAGGUAGCCAAGCCACGCGAUGGUUGUCGUGGUCUAAGCGUGUAGGGUUGUCGGUUGUUAAAUGCGCCGGCUGUGUGCCUGAGACGUGAUGGGACCCCGUUUUUGGGGGAUUUGGUGAUCCUAUGCUGCCGAGAAAAGCAUCGGCGUGAGGUUUUAGCCGCCCGUACCCUAAACCGACACAGGUGAUCAGGUAGAGAAUACUAAGGCGAUCGAGAGAAUCAUGGUUAAGGAACUCGGCAAAAUGCCCCCGUAACUUCGGGAGAAGGGGGACCUUGAGCGUGAUGGGCACUUGCUGCCUGGAGCGUGUAUGGGUCGCAGAGACCAGGGGGAAGCGACUGUUUAUCAAAAACACAGGUCCGUGCGAAGUCGUAAGACGAUGUAUACGGACUGACUCCUGCCCGGUGCUGGAAGGUUAAGAGGAUUGGUUAGCCCUUUUUGGGCGAAGCUGAGAAUUUAAGCCCCAGUAAACGGCGGUGGUAACUAUAACCAUCCUAAGGUAGCGAAAUUCCUUGUCGGGUAAGUUCCGACCUGCACGAAUGGAGUAACGACUUCCCUACUGUCUCAACCAUGAACUCGGCGAAAUUGCAGUACGAGUAAAGAUGCUCGUUUCGCGCAGCAGGACGGAAAGACCCCGUGACCUUUACUAUAGUUUGGUAUUGGUGUUUGGUUUGGCUUGUGUAGGAUAGGUGGGAGACUGUGAAGCAUGGACGCUAGUUUGUGUGGAGUCGUUGUUGAAAUACCACUCUGGUCAAUCUGGAUGUCUAACUUCGGGCCAUGAUCUGGUUCAGGGACAGUGCCUGAUGGGUAGUUUAACUGGGGCGGUUGCCUCCUAAAGUGUAACGGAGGCGCCCAAAGGUUCCCUCAGCCUGGUUGGCAAUCAGGUGUUGAGUGUAAGUGCACAAGGGAGCUUGACUGUGAGACUGGCAGGUCGAGCAGGGACGAAAGUCGGGACUAGUGAUCCGGCGGUACGUUGUGGAACGGCCGUCGCUCAACGGAUAAAAGGUACCUCGGGGAUAACAGGCUGAUCUUGCCCAAGAGUCCAUAUCGACGGCAUGGUUUGGCA